rnacentral:misc_RNA from 1 species
AAGUCGUAACAAGGUCUCCGUUGGUGAACCAGCGGAGGGAUCAUUACUGAGUCACGUGCUCAAACAACCCUUCUGUGGACCUGAAAUAAAACCGUUGCCUCGGCGGGCGGUCCCCCCAACCAAACCCCACGUGGUGGGUUAGGGGACCAGACAGUCCGGCACGCUUAAGGCGUCCGGCGCCAGCCGCUGGCCCCAAACAAUUAAACUCUAGUAACCUUUACCUUCUGAGUUUUAAUAUUUUAAAAAUAAGUCAAAACUUUCAACAACGGAUCUCUUGGCUCUG